AGUCGAGGGGCAGCGGGGAGGUAGCAAUACUUCCGCCGGCGACCGGCGCACGGGUGAGUAACACGUAUGGAACCUGCCCGUAGCAGGGGGAUAAGCGGAAGAAAUUCCGUCUAAUACCGCGUAAUAACUCCGAGAGGCAUCUCUUGGGGUUUAAAGGGUAACACCGGCUACGGAUGGCCAUGCGGCGCAUUAGCUAGUUGGCGGGGUAACGGCCCACCAAGGCGACGAUGCGUAGGGGUUCUGAGAGGAAGGUCCCCCACACUGGUACUGAGACACGGACCAGACUCCUACGGGAGGCAGCAGUGAGGAAUAUUGGUCAAUGGGCGCGAGCCUGAACCAGCCAAGUCGCGUGAGGGAAGACGGUCCUAUGGAUUGUAAACCUCUUUUGUCGGGGAGCAAAAGACGUCACGUGUGGCGUUCCGAGAGUACCCGAAGAAAAAGCAUCGGCUAACUCCGUGCCAGCAGCCGCGGUAAUACGGAGGAUGCGAGCGUUAUCCGGAUUUAUUGGGUUUAAAGGGUGCGCAGGCGGAAGAUCAAGUCAGCGGUAAAAUUGAGAGGCUCAACCUCUUCGAGCCGUUGAAACUGGUUUUCUUGAGUGAGCGAGAAGUAUGCGGAAUGCGUGGUGCAGCGGUGAGAUGCAUAGAUAUCACGCAGAACUCCGAUUGCGAAGGCAGCAUACCGGCGCUCAACUGACGCUCAUGCACGAAAGUGUGGGUAUCGAACAGGAUUAGAUACCA
rnacentral:rRNA from 1 species